rnacentral:rRNA from 1 species
GACGAACGCUGGCGGCGUGCUUAACACAUGCAAGUCGAACGGAAAGGCCCUGCUUUUGUGGGGUGCUCGAGUGGCGAACGGGUGAGUAACACGUGAGUAACCUGCCCUUGACUUUGGGAUAACUUCAGGAAACUGGGGCUAAUACCGGAUAGGAGCUCCUGCUGCAUGGUGGGGGUUGGAAAGUUUCGGCGGUUGGGGAUGGACUCGCGGCUUAUCAGCUUGUUGGUGGGGUAGUGGCUUACCAAGGCUUUGACGGGUAGCCGGCCUGGGAGGGUGACCGGCCACAUUGGGACUGAGAUACGGCCCAGACUCCUACGGGAGGCAGCAGUGGGGAAUAUUGCACAAUGGGCGGAAGCCUGAUGCAGCAGCGCCGCGUGCGGGAUGACGGCCUUCGGGUUGUAAACCGCUUUCGCCUGUGACGAAGCGUGAGUGACGGUAAUGGGUAAAGAAGCACCGGCUAGCUACGUG